CCCCUGCCCCUUCUGCAGCCCCUCCAUGAGCCCUCGGUAUUUUCCUUAUAUGAUCAGGCCCCACUGCUGACAGUGGCACCUGUCAGGCCUGGGCCUGAGAGGAUUAUGAAAACGUGUCUGACCUAGUGAGUCUCGGGGCUGUAGGG